rnacentral:rRNA from 1 species
UACGUAGGGGGCGAGCGUUGUCCGGAAUCAUUGGGCGUAAAGCGCGUGUAGGCGGCUUGGUAAGUCCGGUGUGAAACCUUGGGGCUCAACCCCAAGCCUGCACUGGAUACUGCCUCGCUUGAGUCCGGGAGGGGAGAGCGGAAUUCCUAGUGUAGCGGUGAAAUGCGCAGAUAUCAGGAGGAACACCAAUGGCGAAGGCAGCUCGCUGGGACGGUACUGACGCUGAGACGCGAAAGCGUGGGGAGCAAACAGG